AGCAGCCGCGGUAAUUCCAGCUCCAAUAGCGUAUAUUAAAGUUGUUGCAGUUAAAAAGCUCGUAGUUGAAUUUCGGGAUCAAUAUAUCGGUCGUGCCUUUGGUACGUACUGGUAUCAUUGAUUUCUCCUUUCUGACGAAUCAUGAUGUCAUUAAUUUGGUGUUAUGAGGAGUUAGGACUGUUACUUUGAAAAAAAUUAGAGUGUUUAAAGCAGGCAUUAGCUUGAAUACAUUAGCAUGGAAUAAUGAAGUAGGACGUUUGACCCUAUUUUUGUUGGUUUUUAGGAUCGACGUAAUGAUUAAUAGGGAUAGUUGGGGGCAUUAGUAUUCAAUUGUCAGAGGUGAAAUUCUUGGAUUUUAUUGAAGACUAACUACUGCGAAAGCAUUUGCCAAGGAUGUUUUCAUUAAUCAAGAACGAAAGUUAGGGGAUCGAAGACGAUCAGAUACCGUCGUAGUCUUAACCAUAAACUAUGCCGACUAGGGAUCGGAUGAUGUUAAUUUUUAUAGUGACUCAUUCGGCGC
rnacentral:rRNA from 1 species